GAGUUUGAUCCUGGCUCAGGAUGAACGCUAGCGGCAGGCUUACCACAUGCAAGUCGAGGGGUAACAGGGGUUGCUUGCAACCCGCUGACGACCGGCGCACGGGUGCGUAACGCGUAUGCAACCUACCUUCUCACAGGGGGAUAGUCAAUAGAAAUGUUGAAUAAUACCCCCAUACGAUCAUUACUCUAGCAUGGCAUCAGAUGAGGAAAGUUCCGGCGGUCAGCAAGAUGGGCAUGCGUCCUCAUUAGUUAGUUAGGUAAGGUAACGGCUUCACCAAGACGUCGAUAGGUAGGGGUCCUGCAGAGGGAGAUCCCCACACACUGGUACUAGAGACACGGCACCAGACUCCUAACGGGCAGGCAGACAGUGAGGCAAUAUAGGACAAUGGCACGAAAGUCUGAUCCCAGCCAUGCCAGCGUGCCGAGAUGACGGCCCUAUGGGUUGUAAACUGCUUUUAUACAGGAAGAAACACUCCCACGUGUGGGGGCUUGACGGUAUAGUACGAAUAAGGAUCGGCUAACUCCGUGCCAGCAGACGCGGUAAUACGGAGGAUCCAAGCGUUAUCCGGAAUAAUGGGGUUUAAAGGGUCCGCAGGCG
rnacentral:rRNA from 1 species